CCUACGGGAGGCAGCAGUGAGGAAUAUUGGUCAAUGGGCGCGAGCCUGAACCAGCCAAGUCGCGUGAGGGAAGACGGUCCUAUGGAUUGUAAACCUCUUUUGUCGGGGAGCAAACGACGCCACGCGUUGCGUUCCGAGAGUACCCGACGAAAACGCAUCGGCUACCUCCGUGCCAGCAGCCGCAGUACUACUGAGGAUGCGAGCGUUAUCCGGAUUUAUUGGGUUUAAAGGGUGCGCAGGCGGAAGAUCAAGUCAGCGGUAAAAUUGAGAGGCUCAACCUCUUCGAGCCGUUGAAACUGGUGUUCUUGAGUGAGUGAGAAGUAUGCGGAAUGCGUGGUGUAGCGGUGAAAUGCAUAGAUAUCACGCAGAACUCCGAUUGCGAAGGCAGCAUACCGGCGCUCAACUGACGCUCAUGCACGAAAGUGUGGGUAUCGAACAGGAUUAGAUACCCGAGUAGUC
rnacentral:rRNA from 1 species